UCCUACAAAACCAUCAGCAUCUGGGGACACCGUCGCCAGCUCUUCUCUAUGGCCCUGGGCUUGGGCACAAAGGAAUCAUCUUUGUCAGGACAGGAUUCUUCUCCUUUGUCUCAAGAUGAAACUCAUUUCCAAAGAUUCCCUAUUCUUGUAAGAAACUCUAGGUUUCCUGGUCUCUCCAAGGACUGGUCUAGAAGGGACAGAGAAAUGUGGAUGCACCUUGGCAUGGCUCUGUAUCUGAGUGGUUUUCAGAGAUUCCCCUUCUACACUGACAAGGCCCACACAUGCCUUUAUGUCUGCUGGUGGGAGAUGAUAAAUCUUUAAAUAGCAAUGUCAGGAACUGGCAUCACUAGGAGAAGCAAUGUCCAAUACCUCUACUCAAGGGUAUGUCAGGAAGCAUCUCUGUGCCUGGAUAUUGCUUAAUAAUGAAUAGAAGUCUGAAAGCCUUCAGUUAAUUGUAAUUACUGAUCUAGAAGGGAUCUUCCUUUGUUUCAGGGAGUGUCAACUGUCCUCAUGAAAGUCCUUGUUCUUCUUUAGGUCGCCAGGAUUUUGUGGACGAAGUCAGAACUCCAGGAAGUGGAUAUCCUUGUGCUAGAGGGAACCCAAUACCUCAGCGGCAGAAACUUUCCCUUCCUUAUGCAGCAGCCAAGGCCCAGCACCCAGGAAAGGAGGCCACCACCUGCAGUGGAGUCCACCUGCUGGAGCAGAUCCCCUGAAAUGCAGCCUGGAGGGGCCCUGUCUCCUCCUCUUCCUGGCUGUUCGCCUCUUGUUGCUUCACAGCAGACCUCUGGGGCCAUUGGUGUGGUCCCCUUGAUUCCUGUGAUAACAAGAUGCUGCUGCUCCUGUUGCUUAUAACAACACCAUGAACAUUCAUGGGUAUGAUUGGAGGGGUAUGGAGAAACAGAAAAUGAAGGAAGAUGUGAAGGGUGUGUGUGUGUGUGUGUAUGAAAAGUCGCAUGCAUAUUUUAUAAUGUAUACCAAACAUGAAGUUCAUUUUGACAGAACUUAAAGACUCUUAAGAUUCUUUAUGGAACUGAACUAUUGACAGAAUGUCCUGAUGUUAGUAGCAUUUGCUAAGUCUUGUGAAAAUAGGCCAGGUUGGCAUAGUGUAUGUUGGUUUCUUCCUUGUACUUUUACUUGUACCUUUAACCUUCUCCAAACUCCUCACCAAAGACAGAGACCUGUAAUUAUGGCCAUGUCUUAACUGUGCCAUUGAAUGGAGAAUGUAUCAACUCAACUUAUUUCUUACCGGUGCUGGAGGCUCUGAACAGCUGUCACUUGUCGGAAGUUGUAGAGCUUAAGUAGUGCCCUCAUCUGGCCAGAUAAGGGCAAUGGGUUCCCUCCCAUGACAGCUGCUGACUUGGCCUGCCUUGGGCAGCUGUAACUGGGGACAGUUGGAUCUCCUCCAGGAAGCCACCUUAGGGAGUUCUCCAAGGUCCCACUAUCCCUGUGGUAGGCAUGGUAGACAAGGAAUCUCAAAUUUGGGCAAAAUAUGGCCUCUAAUGAUGUCUUCGACAGCAAAUUCUAGAAUCAGAGCCCUGUGGGGACUGUUUGUAAAGCCACCUGCCGGGAAAGGAGGGAGUCAUCCAUCAAUCCACUCUGGGAUUUCAUGGUACUGUUGCCUUGGUUUGUUUUAGGAUUUUUUUUUUUUGAGAAAUUUUAGGUUUACAGCAGAAUUGAGUGGAAGGUAUAGAGUUCUCAUAUGCCCUCAUGCAUGCAUAGCCUUCCCUACUACCAACAUAUUGUACUGAAUCUGUAGAUCAAGUUGGGAAGAAUUCUUGACACUAUGGAGUCUUCCUAUCCAUGAAUAAAGAUUGUCUAGUUCAUGGAUUUCUUUCAAUUUUCUUUAGUUCAUGGGUUGUACCCCUAUCUGGCCAGACAAGAGCAAUGGGUUCCCUCCCAUGACAGCUGAUUUGGCUUGCCUUUGGCAGCUGUAACUGGGGCAGCUGGAUGCCCUCCAGGAAGCCACCUUAGGGAGCUAUCCAAGGUCCCACUAUCACUUUAUUCUGUGGUAGGCAUUGUAACCUUUAUUCUGUGAUAUACUAUCAUCUUCUAUAACCUCUAGAUAAUUUUUUUUAAAAAUGGCCCUACUAUGCAAUCCUUCAAUCUGGGUUUUAUUAAUAAGUUACAUCCACACAUAUACUCUUCCCAUUACCUGUACCUCUGCUCCCACCCUCACUCCCUGUAAAAGUAACCAUUAUCAGUUUUGCAUUGAUUUUUUUCCUGCCAUUUGUGGUUUUAAAGUAUAUGAAUGUAUUCUUAAACAAUAAAAUAUUCUUUCACCUGUAUUAAAAGGAUAUACUUAUCAUGU